rnacentral:rRNA from 1 species
UGGUUAAAAAGCUCGUUGUUGGAUCUCGGCGGACUGAGGGCGGUUUGCUUGCUAGUAUUACUGCCCUAUAGUCCGUAGUUUUGCCAGAGGUUUCGGGGUGCUCUUAAUCGAGUGUCCCGGGAUGCUGGCAGGUUUACUUUGAAAAAAUUAGAGUGCUCAAAGCAGGCUAUUACGCCUGAAUAUUCGUGCAUGGAAUAAUAGAAUAGGAAGUCGUUUCUAUUUUGUUGGUUUUCGGAAAUCGACUUAAUGAUUAAUAGGGACAGUCGGGGGCAUUUGUAUUCAAACGACAGAGGUGAAAUUCUUGGACCGUUUGAAGACAAACUACUGCGAAAGCAUUUGCCAAGAAUGUUUUCAUUAAUCAAGAACGAAAGUUAAAGGUUCGAUGGCGAUUAGAUACCGCCCUAGUUUUAACCAUAAACGAUGCCAGCUAGCGAUCUGCGGACGUUUUUUUUGUAGACUCCGCAGGAAGCUUCCGGGAAACCAAAGCAUUUGGGUUCCAGGGGAAGUAUGGUUGCAAAGCUGAAACUUAAAGGAAUUGACGGAAGGGCACCACCAGGAGUGGAGCCUGUGGCUUAAUUUGACUCAACACGGGAAAUCUCACCAGGCCCGGACACUGGAAGGAUUGACAGAUUGAUAGCUCUUUCU